UACGAAGGGGGCUAGCGUUGCUCGGAAUUACUGGGCGUAAAGGGCGCGUAGGCGGCCCAUCAAGUCAGGCGUGAAAUUCCCGGGCUCAACCUGGGGACUGCGCUUGAGACUGGCGGGCUAGAGGCCGAGAGAGGGGUGAUGGAAUUCCCCAGUGUAGCGGUGAAAAUGCGUAGAUAUUGGGAGGAACACCAGUGGCGAAGGGCGGCUCACUGGGGCCCUGACCCUGACGCUGAGGAGCGAAAAGCGUGGGGGGAGCGAAACAGG
rnacentral:rRNA from 1 species